rnacentral:rRNA from 1 species
CCGGAAGAUGGCGACCGGCGCACGGGUGAGUAACACGUAUCCAACCUGCCGAUAACUCGGGGAUAGCCUUUCGAAAGAAAGAUUAAUACCCGAUGGUAUAAUCAGACCGCAUGGUUUGAUUAUUAAAGAAUUUCGGUUAUCGAUGGGGAUGCGUUCCAUUAGGCAGUUGGUGAGGUAACGGCUCACCAAACCUUCGAUGGAUAGGGGUUCUGAGAGGAAGGUCCCCCACAUUGGAACUGAGACACGGUCCAA